rnacentral:rRNA from 1 species
AAAAAAGAUUUGCAAUUUAAAAAAAGAAUACUACUUUUGCAUCCGCUUUCAGAUACAAAGGCGCUGUUUUUAAAGACAGAGUUUUAGAGUUUGAAAAAAAUACGAUCAUAGACAUAUUGGACAACAGCAUACAAAAAAGAGAGAGUAAGGUAUAAUACCGAGCUUAACAAAACAAAAAGACUACGAUGAAGAGUUUGAUCCUGGCUCAGGAUGAACGCUAGCGGCAGGCCUAACACAUGCAAGUCGAGGGGUAGGGAUACUUCGGUUUCCUGAGACCGGCGGAUGGGUGAGUAACGCGUAUGCAACCUACCUUUCACAGGGGAAUAGCCCGGAGAAAUCCGGAUUAAUGCUCCAUGGAUUAUUUGGAUGGCAUCAUUUAAAUAAUAAAGAUUUAUCGGUGAAAGAUGGGCAUGCGUAUCAUUAGCUAGUUGGUGUGGUAACGGCACACCAAGGCGACGAUGAUUCGGGGUCCUGAGAGGGAGAUCCCCCACACUGGUACUGAGACACGGACCAGACUCCUACGGGAGGCAGCAGUGAGGAAUAUUGGUCAAUGGAGGCAACUCUGAACCAGCCAUGCCGCGUGCAGGAUGACUGCCCUAUGGGUUGUAAACUGCUUUUAUACAGGAAGAAAUGUAUCUACGCGUAGAUAUUUGACGGUACUGUAGGAAUAAGGAUCGGCUAACUCCGUGCCAGCAGCCGCGGUAAUACGGAGGAUCCGAGCGUUAUCCGGAAUUAUUGGGUUUAAAGGGUUCGUAGGCGGCCUUAUAAGUCAGGGGUGAAAUCUCUCAGCUCAACUGAGAACUUGCCUUUGAUACUGUAUGGCUUGAAUAGUAGUGAAGUAACUAGAAUAUGUAGUGUAGCGGUGAAAUGCAUAGAUAUUACAUGGAAUACCAAUUGCGAAGGCAGGUUACUAAUUAUUUAUUGACGCUGAUGAACGAAAGCGUGGGUAGCGAACAGGAUUAGAUACCCUGGUAGUCCACGCCGUAAACGAUGGAUACUAGCUGUUUGAUUUUCGGAUUGAGUGGCUAAGCGAAAGUGAUAAGUAUCCCACCUGGGGAGUACGUUCGCAAGAAUGAAACUCAAAGGAAUUGACGGGGGCCCGCACAAGCGGUGGAGCAUGUGGUUUAAUUCGAUGAUACGCGAGGAACCUUACCAGGUCUUAAAUGUGUUUUGCCUUACCUGGAAACAGGUAUUUCUUCGGACAAGAUACAAGGUGCUGCAUGGUUGUCGUCAGCUCGUGCCGUGAGGUGUCAGGUUAAGUCCUAUAACGAGCGCAACCCCUAUUGUUAGUUGCCAGCGAGUCAUGUCGGGAACUCUAGCAAGACUGCCGGUGCAAACCGCGAGGAAGGUGGGGAUGACGUCAAAUCAUCACGGCCCUUACGACCUGGGCUACACACGUGCUACAAUGGCCGGUACAGAGGGCAGCUACCACGUGAGUGGAUGCGAAUCUUCAAAGCCGGUCACAGUUCGGAUCGGAGUCUGCAACUCGACUCCGUGAAGCUGGAAUCGCUAGUAAUCGGAUAUCAGCCAUGAUCCGGUGAAUACGUUCCCGGGCCUUGUACACACCGCCCGUCAAGCCAUGGAAGCUGGGGGUACCUGAAGUCGGUCGCCGCAAGGAGCUGCCUAGGGUAAAACUGGUGACUGGGGCUAAGUCGUAACAAGGUAGCCGUACCGGAAGGUGCGGCUGGAACACCUCCUUUCU